rnacentral:sRNA from 1 species
GAACAGCAUGCCGUUCAGGAGUUGACCAAAGCCGCCAUGAGUGGCGUGGGCAUUGACGGAGAAGUGCUCUCUUACUUGGAAUUGGCUCAGUUUCACAAUGCCCACCAGUUGGCCGCCUGGUGUUUGCACCACAUCUGCACCAACUACAACAGUGUAUGCUCCAAGUUCCGCAAGGAAAUCAAAUCAAAAUCUGCAGGUGAGACUGUGUGAGGCCCCCAUUCAUCCAGCUCUCCUCACCUCUCAUGGAAGCUUUUAUCUUCUGUGUCCCUGGAAAGGAACAUGGUCAGCAGGCAGCUCAUGGAUGAUUCCUCGAGACUGGCUGGUGGUCACAUAUUAAUACAACCAGGAAUACUUCGAGCGGCACCGCUGGCCCCCUGUGUGGUACCUGAAGGAAGAAGAUCACUACCAGCGUGUGAAAAGGGAACGAGAGAAGGAAGAUAUUGCACUAAAUAAGCAUCGCUCAAGACGAAAGUGGUGCUUCUGGAAUUCAUCUCCAGCAGUGGCCUGAAGAGGAAGAG